AUAAAAAAUAAUAAUUUGUGAGUGUAUGAGAGAAUGUGUCUGUGUGUGUGUGUGUGUGUGUGUGUGUGUGUCAGUAUCAGUCUGUAUGUGUGUCAGUGAAUGUCUGUCUGUCAAUGAGUGUGUUUGUGUCUGUCAGUGAGAGUGUGUGUCAAUGAAUGUGUGUCUUUCUGUCUGUGAGCGUGUGUAUGUGAGUGAGCGUAUGUGUAUCAGUGAAGGUGUGUGUCUGUCAGUCAAAGUGUGUGUUGGUCUUAAACAGGAAGAGGUGUGUCCUCCUUGGGGAAAACUUAGAUUAGAAGUGUGCCUGAG